rnacentral:lncRNA from 1 species
GUCAGCUCCUGUCACCUGACCAUGGGCUACCUUCAGAAGACUAGACCAGCUAGACAGUCAUGGACCACCAAUGAGAAAGUCACACAGUGUUCUUUCCCUUUUCUAUCUCUGGGGCCCAGCCAUAAGCUUUUCAUGCCCAUAAGGAAAGCUCGAAGCUCCCGGGGUGCUGUGAGGACCAGGGUACUGGGACCAGCUCAAACCUAGGCAUUGCAGUGAUCUGCCUGGUUCUAAUAAGAUGCAAUACAUGAGAAACAGGUACAGGCUUAGACUUCAGGCUCUUUCUGGACCUCAUCACAGUUCCCUGAUUCACAGGAGGACACUCUGACUACAUUUGUGAGUGACUUCUCUAGCUGUGUGCCAAGCCUUUCAGCAGCGCUCAUUUCAGAACAUUCAAUUUCCUCUUACUUUCUGUCAGUUGUCUCCCUUUGAAUUCUGAUUUAUUUUACACACCCCUAUAAACUGUCUUAAUUGUCUUUGAAACAGAGACCAGAGUAGAGAAGGCUCAGUCUGCCUGUCUUUAUGUGGGUGUGGAAUGUGGGUUGUGUAGAAAGCAUUUGGCCUCAGUGAAACGGGAGAUGUUCUCAGAACCCAUGGAUGUCAAUGGCCAUCAUGUUGUGAGCUCUCACGGACAGAUCUAGACCCCUUUUGCACUGGGCAGGGUUGAGUGCUGCUGGUCCCUCAUUUGUAACUCCUUUACUGUCACCAAGUGAAGGAAAAUGUCCAGAAAGUGAAGAACAUUCUGUUUCUUGGAAGUAACAAAGGUCUAGCUCAGUUCCCAGAGUGAGGUUCCCAGACAAGAGGCUCGAUGUCAUCUGAACAUCGGGGAAAGCAGAAUUCUCUGACCCACCCUGCAAGAAGCUUGGGUGCUGAAGACUGAUUUUCAAUCAAGCAUCCCAUGAUCGUGAGUUUGUGCAAGCCUGAGAACCUAUUGACUUGACUCAAAGUGGUGAGAGCGUUUUCCCAUGAACCACUCUACUUGCUGUGCGUUUUUAUUGAGGUGGGAACAGCUGUCUCUUAUUUAUAGAUUUAUCUCUUAUUUAUAGACUGUCAUCACACAGAUUUAUCUGCUUCUCAGGCAAAUUCCACGGAAAGGUUCACAGAAGCAAGAUUUGGAGCAUUUUGGCUCUCUUGGCCAUCAUAACUAAUGGGAGCCUGAUUUUACUUAAAUUUUCCCCAAAUUUGUAAAUCAUCCACCUCUAAAGCAGCCAAGUGAGAUAUUUAUAGUAUAAGGAAACUAGCCACAGAACAGAUUUCCAAAAAUCUGCAGUUUGCAUCAGCACGCUGCAGAAAAAAAGAAAAAAAAAAGUAAAGCCUCAUAUGUUGCCGGAGAACGAAAGAAGAAAUGAAAGAAAGGGCAGAGAACUUCUGAAAAUGAGAUGUUUGAGAUAGUCAAGCUUGGAAAGACAGAAACCCAGACCGCCUGUUCAAGUCAAAAUGGUAGCAACGGCUGUCAUCCAGCAACAGCUGAAGGAAGCGUUUAGAUAUAUGUAUUACAUACUGAUGUGAGAGGGUAACACGGUGGUAGGGUUCCCACCCCAUCACAUCUAAUGGGACUCUUUUAAUAUUUGAUAUAUAGGAGCUCGGAUCAUGGAUGGAUCUUCAGUGUUACAGCCAAUGCACAGAACACAGCUGUGACAAGUAUCUGUCUCAGUGGUCCUGGCUGACAAGGAGCCACUUAAUUGCAUUUACAACCAAAGAGAGGGCAUGGAGUUGAGUCCAGAAGUCACCUAGAAGAAAUUCAGACUCAGGACUGCUUGCUUGUGAUUUAUUUCUACCCGAAGUUCCCAGUUGCUAUUAAAAUAAUGUCAAGGACAUAAUGAUGGCUCUAAUAAGACGUCAAUCGUGGUCCUGAUGAUGGGCUGGUGCCUGAAGUAAUGAGACAUCAGGGAAAAGCACAUCGUGUGCUCUCCUGCACCGUUAAAGGGACUCUGGGCAAAUGGAGACUUCACUACAAUUUCCCUCAGAUGCGCCAGACAUUUGCUCUUUGGCUAAAAGCUCUCCAGUUAGCAGAAUCAGAACUGAAACUCCCACACCUGAGGAAAGAAGAGAGCGCCCACAGAUCCUGCUUUCAAGCGGGUUACCACCGAUGCUCACCACCAUUAACAAGGUGGCUAUCCAGAAGGGAAGCAGGGCUCUGAGUGUGUACCUAGCAGACAGUCAUAAAGGACAAAGUGCUCGACAGACAACUCUACUCCACUCCUAACUAAAUCCCCAAGGGGACCUCUUUGCAUUCCAUUACCAGGUUUUUCCUGAUUCCACCUACAUCUAAUUAAGUCCUUAAAAGUCACUUUGGAGACCUAAACUACAGGUCUGCAUGGGGACCUCUUUAGUGUGAGCUCCCAUUGCUAUCCAUCCCUCUGCCCGGAGCUAUGAUAAAAGCUAUCUCAAAAUGCACC